AUCUCAAUAAAAAUCACUAACCUGCUUAAACAAUAAUUUACCAAAAUAUUUGGUAAUCAUAAACAACACAUCAGUAAAGUAAAACGCACUAAGCGUUGCAGCGGAAUAGCUUAAGUGGAUUACAUGUAUGAAGACAUGGAAUCCUGAGCCUAAUUUAGUACUUAUAUAUCAAAAGCUUUGCUCUGCUGACAUCCAUCUACAUCACAGCUUAACCUGCACAUUUAGAAAACAUAUGCAGGGCUGAGUACUAAAAAGGUACUCAAUGGUCACAUGCCGAAAUAACUUGAAAGAUUGCUCUUAGAGCUAUAAAUUGAACUUGCCAUCUCAAGCAUCACACAGGAGUUUUACUUAAAUAACCUGUGCACGCAAAACUGUAAAACUUUCAUGUAAUUAUCAUAAACUUCACAUGCGUCUGCAGACAUACUUCUUUGUACUCUACCAUAUCCGCAAUGAUAACUGUGUGCCGAGAAGGUGGCCACCUUCUACGGUCACUGACCGGCCGAUACGCUAAACCGGCUCACGGUCUUAGACCGGCCGAUACGCUAAACCAGCUCACGGACCUAGACCGGCCGAUACGCUAAACCGGCUCGCGGUCCUAGGCCGGCCGAUAUGCUUGAUCGGCUCACGGUCCCUUGUGUACACUAAUCCUGUCUAACAUCUGGAUAGAACAGGAUCCGAAUUCGAUUACUUCUGGUGCCAGAUAGGUAUCAUACAAGCUCAUAAAAGUUUUGGCAAGUCAAUAACUUUAAUAUAACUUUAUUCAUGUAAACAUCAUGAAAUAGUGUGUACUUCAGAUUUUGAGUUUAGAAAGCCCACCUGAUCGUGGUCUGACGACACAAGUAACUCUGAACUAAUGCUUUAC
rnacentral:lncRNA from 1 species